rnacentral:rRNA from 1 species
AUUGAACGCUAGCGGCAGGCCUAACACAUGCAAGUCGAACGAACGGCGGACGGGUGGUUAAUGAAUGGGGCUCUGCCCGAGGGAUAGGGAUAACUACUGGAAACGAUUACUGCUACCGCAUACUGCCGCAUGAACCCAUAUGGGAUUAGCUAGUGGGUGGGGUAAAGGCUCACCUGGGCGACGAUCUCGAGCUGGUCUGAGAGGAUGAUCAGCCACACUGGGACUGAGACACGGCCCAGACUCCUACGGGAGGCAGCAGUGGGGAAUAUUGCACAAUGGGCGCAAGCCUGAUGCAGCCAUGCCGCGUGUAUGAAGAAGGCCUUAGGGUUGUAAAGUACUUUCAGCGGGGAGGCGUUACCCGCAGAAGAAGCACCGGCUAACUCCGUGCCAGCAGCCGCGGUAAUAC